rnacentral:piRNA from 1 species
GGCUAUCAACCAAUAUGUCAGCAUGC